GUAGGUGGCAAGCGUUGUCCGGAAUUAUUGGGGCGUAAAGCGCGCGCAGGCGGUUCUUUAAGUCUGAUGUGAAAGCCCACGGGCUCAACCGUGGAGGGUCAUUGGAAACUGGAGAACUUGAGUACAGAAGAGGAAAGCGGAAUUCCACGUGUAGCGGUGAAAUGCGUAGAGAUGUGGAGGAACACCAGUGGCGAAGGCGGCUUUCUGGUCUGUAACUGACGCUGAGGCGCGAAAGCGUGGGGAGCAAACAGGAUUAGAUACCCUGGUAGUCCACGCCGUAAACGAUGAGUGCUAAGUGUUAGGGGGUUUCCGCCCCUUAGUGCUGCAGCUAACGCAUUAAGCACUCCGCCUGGGGAGUACGGCCGCAGGGCUGA
rnacentral:rRNA from 1 species